AGGGAAUCUUCCACAAUGGACGAAAGUCUGAUGGAGCAACGCCGCGUGAGUGAAGAAGGUUUUCGGAUCGUAAAACUCUGUUGUAAGGGAAGAACAAGUACAGUAGUAACUGGCUGUACCUUGACGGUACCUUAUUAGAAAGCCACGGCUAACUACGUGCCAGCAGCCGCGGUAAUACGUAGGUGGCAAGCGUUGUCCGGAAUUAUUGGGCGUAAAGCGCGCGCAGGCGGUCCUUUAAGUCUGAUGUGAAAUCACGUGGCUCAACCACGUGCGGUCAUUGGAAACUGGAGGACUUGAGUGCAGAAGAGGAAAGUGGAAUUCCAAGUGUAGCGGUGAAAUGCGUAGAGAUUUGGAGGAACACCAGUGGCGAAGGCGACUUUCUGGUCUGUAACUGACGCUGAGGCGCGAAAGCGUGGGGAGCAAAC
rnacentral:rRNA from 1 species